AUGUGGUGGUGGAAAGCAUUCUAUGCAUCAGGCUCUGUUGCUCUCUAUGUGUUCCUGUACUCCAUCAAUUACUUGGUUUUUGACCUCCAGAGCUUGAGUGGCCCAGUAUCAGCUAUACUUUACCUUGGCUACUCUUUGAUAAUGGCUGUUGCGAUCAUGCUGUCAACUGCCACUAUUGGCUUCCUCACAUCAUUUUACUUCGUGCAUUAUCUUUUCUCAUCAGUGAAGAUCGACUAAAUGGUUCUGCAGGGUGAUUACUGUUGUUGGAUGGCUAAAGACCUGUUCUGUCUUGUCAAAGUUUACCUAGUCCUGCCAGAAAGAGUAUCUGAACUGCAGCCAAGCCCCUUUGUACUUCCUAUUUUACUGCGGCUACUCUUUGAUAAUGGCAGUCGCAAUCAUGCUGUCAACUGGCACUAUCGGCUUCCUCACAUCAUUUUACUUUGUGCAUUAUCUUUUCUCAUCAGUGAAGAUUGACUAAAUGGUUCUGCAGGGUGAUUACUAUUGUUGGAUGGCUAAAGACCUGUUGUAUCUUGUCAAAAUUUACCUAGUCCUGCCAGAAAGAGUAUCUGAACUGCAGCCAAGGACCUUUGUACUUCCUAUUUUACUGUCAUAUUCUGAGGCUAGAUAUUGUGUUUUAAUCACAUUUUCCCAUAUUUCUUGUAUCUUGAUAACUGCUACUUCCAAUGGAGAAAUUACCAGAGAACUGAUUUUAGCUGAUUAUCUUACUUUGUAAUUGGAAUGGAUGAAAGGUUUAAGGUGGUUUUGUUCCAUUCACUCUUGGAACGAAUACUCUGGCUAUAUUUGGGUUAAUAUCAAAGUCCAUGCAUAUAUUUGGUACUUCUUGUUGCUACAUCUUAUCAUGUGUUGGUUACUGUGUGACUAAUUACAUGGAUUUGUCAUGCGGCCGGAUAGUUUAUUUUCUCAAAUGCACUCUUUCUGAGCUCCAUUGGUAUUCAAAGUGAUUUCUAGCUUGUGUUCUGACAUUGGUCGUGUUGUAAUUUUUGGAAACAUAGAGAAACUGUGGGGAAAUAACCGUCCAUUGAUACACUUUGCUGGUCGCUUGGUACUGAAUAGUGUAUAUUUUGUUUCAUUUAUAACCAGC
rnacentral:lncRNA from 1 species